AAAAAAAAUGGGCGGAACGCCCAUCUUCUUACCGGUGGUCGCACCUGAGCCGCACAUCGAAUCCGUACGCCCAGCGACUUUGCGAUUAUAGCGAUUU
rnacentral:sRNA from 1 species